AUGCUCCCUUUGACAGCAUAUAUAUUAAAAUUGAAAUGAUAAAUAGAAGAUUAGAAUGCCCCCCUGCACAAGGAUGACAUGCAAAUUACUGAAGCAUUCAAUAUUUUU